rnacentral:misc_RNA from 1 species
AACUUUCAACAACGGAUCUCUUGGUUCUGGCAUCGAUGAAGAACGCAGCGAAAUGCGAUAAGUAAUGUUAAUUGCAGAAUUCAGUGAAUCAUCGAAUCUUUGAACGCACAUUGCGCCCGCCAGUAUUCUGGCGGGCAUGCCUGUUCGAGCGUCAUUUCAACCCUCAAGCCCCCGGGCUGGGUGUUGGGGAUCGGCGUGCCUUCGCGGCGCGCCGUCCCCGAAAUCUAGUGGCGGUCUCGCUGUAGCUUCCACUGCGUAGUAGGACACCUCGCACUGGGGAGCAGCGCGGCCACGCCGUUAAAUCCCCCACUUCUGAUAGGUUGACCUCGGAUCAGCUAGGAAUACCCGCUGAACUUAAGUUUAUCAAUAAGAGGAGGCU